rnacentral:rRNA from 1 species
UGUAAGCGUAUACCAAAGUUGUUGCAGUUAAAACGCUCGUAGUCGGAAUUUGGAAGUUCCGGAAGUGUGCACGUCGUGUGCGCACUUUGCGGGGACUGCUUUUGUGGUCUUGCGUAGGAUGAGGCACUUUCAUUAGUGAACGUCCUCACGCAACCACUCUUUACUGUGAGAAAAUCAGAGUGCUCAAAGCAGGCAUUUGCCGUGAAUGUAUUAGCAUGGAAUAAUAGAAUAGGACUCGGUUCUAUUUUGUUGGUUUGUUGGGACUGAGUAAUGAUUAAGAGGGACAGUUGGGGGCAUUUGUAUUCCGGCGCUAGAGGUGAAAUUCUUAGAUUGCCGGAAGACAAACUGCUGCGAAAGCGUCUGCCAAGGAUGUUUUCAUUGA